rnacentral:rRNA from 1 species
UACGUAGGGUGCAGGCGUUAAUCGGAAUUACUGGGCGUAAAGCGUGCGCAGGCGGCUCCUUAAGUCAGAUGUGAAAGCCCCGGGCUUAACCUGGGAACUGCGCUUGAAACUGUCUGGCUAGAGUCCGGAAGAGGAGAAUGGAAUUCCUGGUGUAGCGGUGAAAUGCGCAGAUAUCAGGAAGAACACCCGUGGCGAAGGCGGUUCUCUGGGACGGUACUGACGCUGAGACGCGAAAGCUAGGGGAGCGAACAGG